rnacentral:misc_RNA from 1 species
GAUGAAGAACGCAGCGAAAUGCGAUAAGUAAUGUGAAUUGCAGAAUUCAGUGAAUCAUCGAAUCUUUGAACGCACAUUGCGCCCGCCAGUAUUCUGGCGGGCAUGCCUGUUCGAGCGUCAUUUCAACCAUCAAGCCCCCGGCUUGUGUUGGGGACCUGCGGCUGCCGCAGGCCCUGAAAACCAGUGGCGGGCUCGCUGUCACACCGAGCGUAGUAGAUUUUCAUCUCGCUCAGGGCGUGCUGCGGGUUCCGGCCGUAAAAAGCCUUAUUUACCCAAGGUUGACCUCGGAUCAGGUAGGAAGACCCGCUGAACUUAAGCAUAUCAAUAUGCGGAGGA